rnacentral:misc_RNA from 1 species
UGGCUUCUUUUUUGCAGGAACUCCUCACAUAUUUUCACAUCACAGUAGUUGAGGACUUUCAGAAAAUCUGUAGCUGCUGAGAACUGUCCAGUUAAUAUAAGAGCUUGAAGAAGUGCAGUGUCCAGUAUUGCAGCCAUAUCCCUAGCGAUGGAAGUGAUUGGAGCAUGAAUUCUGCCCUUGGUUGGUUUUUUGGACCGGCUAGUUCCAUAA